GUAAAGCAGCAGGAGGGGGAUGUGUGCUGGAGCUGGGAAGUACUUGGAUGAAAGAAAUGUAACUGUACAGUUGGAACCCAAUAGAAGACUCAAGCAUCCUCUCUCCUAAUUAGCAAAGGAACACAGACGAGUGUGACAGGAGCUGUGUGCGGCCAGAAUUUUUCCUGAUCUGACCCCAGGAAGUGCUCCUUUUUCUUUUCUCCCCAGAAAUAUAGAAAGAUGGAGACAUAAAGAAAGAACGUAUCAGGUUCAGAAGUAAAUUACCACAAAAAUGCAGAUGGAACCUGUAAUACUUGCCUCCACAUCAUUCAUCCAGUGGUUUGGGAGCUGCAGAUCAGCAUGUGAAAGACAGCAGUUAAAAUACAGGGUCCGUUCCUAUCUCCUCUGCUCUGCACUGGUGUAAAUCAAGGCUAAGACUCGUGAACCCAAUGGAGUGUAAAAUUGGUGUGAGUGAGAAUCAGUGCCAUCUCCUGUACCUAUAUGUCAGAUAAAAUAUUUGUUUUAAGUGUUUAUAGACGCUGCUAUCAUAAGUAGCUUAUUUUCUUAUACAUUAAAUAACCAGAGUAAUUUUCUAACACGACUAAAAUAAACACAUAUAUUUAUUGUCACUUGCAGGAGUCACGCUCCCUUUCUUUCUGAGUAAGAAACCAGUGAUUGAUUUUUAUUUUUUUCUUGGUUUAAUAAA